CCCUUAGAUGUCCUGGGCUGCACGCGCGCUACACUGAUGUGUCCAGUAAGCACCUAACCUCUUCCGAAAGGAACGGGUAACCUUUGCAAAGCACAUCGUGAUGGGGAUAGAUUAUUGCAAUUAUUAGUCUUCAACGAGGAAUGCCUAGUAGGCGCAAGUCAUCAGCUUGCGUCGAUUACGUCCCUGCCCUUUGUACACACCGCCCGUCGCUCCUACCGAUUGGGUGUGCUGGUGAAAUGUUCGGAUCGGCCGUUUGUCGCGGUUUCCGCGGCUCGUGGCUGAGAAGUUCAUUAAACCCUCCCACCUAGAGGAAGGAGAAGUCGUAACA
rnacentral:rRNA from 1 species